rnacentral:rRNA from 1 species
GUACCGUGAGGGAAAGGCGAAAAGAACCCCGGCGAGGGGAGUGAAAAAGAACCUGAAACCGUGUACGUACAAGCAGUGGGAGCACAGGUUUACCUGUGUGACUGCGUACCUUUUGUAUAAUGGGUCAGCGACUUAUAUUCUGUAGCAAGGUUAACCGUAUAGGGGAGCCGCNNAGGGAAACCGAGUCUUAAUUGGGCGUUAAGUUGCAGGGUAUAGACCCGAAACCCGGUGAUCUAGCCAUGGGCAGGUUGAAGGUUGGGUAACACUAACUGGAGGACCGAACCGACUAAUGUUGAAAAAUUAGCGGAUGACCUGUGGCUGGGGGUGAAAGGCCAAUCAAACCGGGAGAUAGCUGGUUCUCCCCGAAAGCUAUUUAGGUAGCGCCUCGUGAAUUCAUCUCCGGGGGUAGAGCACUGUUUCGGCUAGGGGGCCAUCCCGGCUUACCAACCCGAUGCAAACUGCGAAUACCGGAGAAUGUUAUCACGGGAGACACACGGCGGGUGCUAACGUCCGUCGUGAAGAGGGAAACAACCCAGACCGCCAGCUAAGGUCCCAAAGUCAUGGUUAAGUGGGAAACGAUGUGGGAAGGCCCAGACAGCCAGGAUGUUGGCUUAGAAGCAGCCAUCAUUUAAANNNNNNNNNNNNNNNNNNNNNNNNNNNNUGCUGGAGGUAUCAGAAGUGCGAAUGCUGACAUAAGUAACGAUAAAGCGGGUGAAAAGCCCGCUCGCCGGAAGACCAAGGGUUCCUGUCCAACGUUAAUCGGGGCAGGGUGAGUCGACCCCUAAGGCGAGGCCGAAAGGCGUAGUCGAUGGGAAACGGGUUAAUAUNCUGAGGCGUGAUGACGAGGCACUACGGUGCUGAAGCAACAAAUGCCCUGCUUCCAGGAAAAGCCUCUAAGCAUCAGGUAACAUCAAAUCGUACCCCAAACCGACACAGGUGGUCAGGUAGAGAAUACCAAGGCGCUUGAGAGAACUCGGGUGAAGGAACUAGGCAAAAUGGUGCCGUAACUUCGGGAGAAGGCACGCUGACAUGUAGGUGAAGUGAUUUACUCAUGGAGCUGAAGUCAGUCGAAGAUACCAGCUGGCUGCAACUGUUUAUUAAAAACACAGCACUGUGCAAACACGAAAGUGGACGUAUACGGUGUGACGCCUGCCCGGUGCCGGAAGGUUAAUUGAUGGGGUCAGCGCAAGCGAAGCUCCUGAUCGAAGCCCCGGUAAACGGCGGCCGUAACUAUAACGGUCCUAAGGUAGCGAAAUUCCUUGUCGGGUAAGUUCCGACCUGCACGAAUGGCGUAAUGAUGGCCAGGCUGUCUCCACCCGAGACUCAGUGAAAUUGAACUCGCUGUGAAGAUGCAGUGUACCCGCGGCAAGACGGAAAGACCCCGUGAACCUUUACUAUAGCUUGACACUGAACAUUGAGCCUUGAUGUGUAGGAUAGGUGGGAGGCUUUGAAG